AUAUAUUUUUAUGCAAGUAUUCUGUCACACACGUGCUAUAUAAAAAAAAAAUUCUCAAUUAUGUCACUACAGGUAGAAACACCACCGCCACAUUCCAAUGCUGACAAUCGGUCACUGUAUAUUUUUUAUUACUUGAAGGAAGGAAAACAUCACCCAGAUGUAACUGUCGGUCACCAAAGUGGAAUCAGAAAGGCCGUUAAAAAAUAUUCCAUUAAAGGUGACAAUCUUUAUUAUGAAGCCAAGGGAAAACACCAGCUGGUAUGCCAUUCCAGAGAAGAGCGUGUGUCUGCCCUUAAGCACUGCCAUGAUGAACCAGGAACUGGUGGACAUUGGGGCAGAAACAAAAUGCUGGCCAAGAUACAGGAAUCCUAUUACUGGCUGGGGAUGGCAAAGGAUGUUGAGAAAUGAAUCAACGAAUGUGACCAGUGUCAGCGCCAGGAAAGGCUAAAGACAAUAGCACCAAUUCUGCAUCCAAUCGAGACCGAUUCUCCUUGGGAUUUAAUAGGGAUAGACCUGAUCGGCCCCUUUCAGAAAACAGGUGGUAACAAAUCGUCAACAGUUUCCUGGCUAAGCUCCAGAGAUCGGCCAACUGGGACAGGAAAAAUAGAGUUCUAGUUUUGUCAUCCUUCUUGGCAGACAAAUGGGAGAAGGGGAGUAAAGGCAUACGUCAAUGGAUCUAUAAAUUGGUGAGGUUCGCAACAUAUGAUAUAAUUUUGCUGCCAGUAUGUACUGCUGCACACUGGUUCCUGGUGGCAAUGGAGCCCAAAAAAUGUACAGUCGCUUGUCUAGACUCGUUAAAAUCACCAGAACGAGCCAUGCGAUUUUACAACUACUGGAUUGAAUACAUAGCAGAGCGCGAGAAACAUGUACCUGAGGGUCUUGCUGAGUUAGAAGAGUGUGCAAUAUCUCUGCAGCCAGCAAUUGGAUGGGAACAGUUGCGGUAUAUUCACAUGCAUGAAUGCUGAAUGCCUUGUAAAAGAUGUUUGCCCGACAGUCAUGCGCCAGCACCACGUUCCAUACUAUCGGGAGUAUGUGAUGAAGACACUGCUAGCUGCCAGGAACACAGACAACUGCGACUCCAAACUGUGUUUGCGUCCACAACUAAAAUGCUUGGAAUGGAAGGGUUGUGAUGGAUGUUUGAUGUGGGAGCAUUCUGUUUGCAUGAUAAUAACAGACAAGCACCCGUACUGUGGACUUUGUUUGCCAUUGCACUACAAAAACUAAACAUUCUCAUUUCUUGAAUUUGCACUUUGAAUUCUUAUUGCUAUUUUCCUAUAGUCAUAUUAAGUUUUAAUUUGAAUGCAUACACAAUUACUUGAAGAUUUAUGUAAGAAAUGUACAAAAU